rnacentral:rRNA from 1 species
UACAGAGGGUGCGAGCGUUAAUCGGAAUUACUGGGCGUAAAGGGUGCGUAGGUGGUUUUGUAAGUUAGAUGUGAAAUUCCCGGGCUUAACCUGGGGACUGCGUCUGAUACUGCGAAGCUAGAGUACUGUAGAGGGAAGUGGAAUUUCCGGUGUAGCAGUGAAAUGCGUAGAUAUCGGAAGGAACAUCAGUGGCGAAGGCGACUUCCUGGACAGAUACUGACACUGAGGCACGAAAGCGUGGGGAGCAAACAGG